AACGCAUAUGGCACCUGCCAGCCCUGCUGGAAGGUAUGCCUGUUUGAGAAUCACACUCUUCCUGAUCCAAUUGCAUCCACGUGCACUUGGUCGACAUGGGCCUUCAGCACUGAUCGCCCCGAAUUGCUCGCGAUCGUCGUGGUAGACGGUGUGGCAGCGAUGCCAUGCAAUGGUCGACGAUUGCCCAUCCGUGCUCGUGAUCUCAAAUCAGGCAAGCCUACCCGCUGAACUUAA
rnacentral:misc_RNA from 1 species